rnacentral:lncRNA from 1 species
AUUUUCACAUUUCGUUACACAAAAAAUACUAUUUAUCUCAAAGAGGUUACUCAUACUUUUGGUGUUGAUUCUUUGCUUAGUGUCCAAAACGAUUCUUAUAUAGGAUUAACCGUCUUGGGGUUUAGUACUUAUCGUCAUUAUUCACAUUCUCGAAAAAUCAUCAUGCAUAUAGUAUGACUUUUUUAGAGUAUGAAUAACAAGUCUCACGAUAUAGAAACUUAAAAACGACUUAACUUU